ensembl:lncRNA
AUCAGAUUACGACAUUUACAUUGACUGCUGCAUCAGAGGUCAAUUGAAAUAUCUGUAUGCAUGAUUGCAACACGUAGGGUGAGACGCCGAGUUAUGGGCUGGCUAACAGUCGGAACGAGACCGCCCAGUGAAGGCUUCAGCCACCACUCGAUCUCCUCGUCCUCCUCCACGCCUUCCGACGUGCGCCAGAUGCCGUCACCACGGGCACAUCGUCCGGCUUAAAGGCCAUGCAAAGACGUGUCCGUUCACGGCCGACGAGUUGAUGGAAGCCCGUCGAGGGAGCAAGGUGCCUGCUCGGGACAGGCCUGUGGAGGAAACGACGGGAGUGUUGAACUUGAGCACGACGAUCGAAAGAAGAGAGGGGUUUCUGGUCGCGCACCCAACGGCCCUUUACCCCAACUACCUGGCCGACAUGCCGGCCAUGUGGACCAUCCCUCACACCCAUUACCACAGUUUGGCCUUCCCGAUCUGUCCACCAAUGUGUUCUCCACCGCCACCCCUUCUCGACCCAAGGAUCUUCUUCGGGCUGGUUCCUCCUGGGCCCUAUCAACCUUUUCCAAUGCCUACACCCCCUCCCUUCUUCAGACCUCCUUCACCACCAGCUAAUCACUGAUUUUGAGCCAAUCGAAAAUCUAUUGUUUUUGUAAGUUUUCUUUGUUUAAUGUAUCAGUUACAUCUAAGGUUAUCUGUAACGGUUUCAAAUAUAUAAAUAAGUUCCAUAUCAAGUUUUUUAUAAAUGUUUUAAAUGCUUCUGAAAUUAAACUUUUUUUGAAUGUC